CGAGAAAGGAAGACACAUGCAAGGAAUGAAACAGAAGCAUCAAGAAAACUACAUGAUGUCUCCACGGAUGACCGUAUUGAUAAUGGGUUAAUUCAACAAGGAGAGAAUGGAAAAACUGAUGGUCAGCAAAUUCCUAGGACAGAGCAGGAAGAGUGUGAUAGUAGUGUCCCUGCCUUGCAUAUGAAGAAAGUAAAGAAAAAUGAACAUGAAGAAUGGACCACA
rnacentral:lncRNA from 1 species